rnacentral:tRNA from 1 species
GUUGGUUUGGUUGAGUUCGUUAAGACUCGGGUUCGGGUCCGUGAUCUUGGGUUCAAAACCCGGCUUCAACA